AAUCAAAGAACCUUUAUUGGCAUAACAAUAUCGCGGUAUUAUAUACACAGGUCCACUUAACUAAAUAGAGGGGAACUAAAAUAAAAUACAAAGAAAAAAGAGGGAAAAGUUCAGAUUUUGCUCCAAGAGCGCUGUUUCAUAUACGAAUCCAAGUAUUUGGCAACUGCGUCAUUUGCGUCACUACUGGGGUUGUCCAACAGAAAGGAAAUCUUUUGCAAGUCAGAUGCAUAUUCUUCUUUGAGUAGCAGGGAUGACAAAUAUUUAACUCUGGGUACAGCGUAAAGUGGAAAAUAAAGUAAAAUAUGGUCUAUGGAAUCUACACAAUUCCCAUUGCAUACGCAUAGCCUUUGGUGGUAAGGAGUUAUAAUAAAUUUCCCAAUUCAUAGGGCUGAUGGAA